UACAACGAGUCGCAAGCUCGCGAGAGUAAGCUAAUCUCUUAAAGCCGUUCUCAGUUCGGACUGUAGGCUGCAACUCGCCUACACGAAGUCGGAAUCGCUAGUAAUCGCGGAUCAGCAUGCCGCGGUGAAUACGUUCCCGGGCCUUGUACACACCGCCCGUCACACCAUGGGAGUUUGUAACGCCCAAAGUCGGUGGCCUAACCUUUAUGGAGGGAGCCGCCUAAGGCGGGACAGAUGACUGGGGUGAAGUCGUAACAAGGUAUC
rnacentral:rRNA from 1 species